UGGUUGCCGAUGAAGGAGAGAUUGAACGUGACUAAGUCUGUAGAUGGUGAUUUGUCUGUGCCGAUGGCUACGACAAGGAAGUCUGCCGAUGAUUAUAACAAGGGAGUCUGUUGAUGAUACGGAGGGAGAGUCCGGAAGUUGCCGAUUGGUUUGUGGAGAUGUUCCGAUUUGUCACGGGGGGAUAGCUUUAUGUUUUCCUUAGUUAUUUAAAUCGUUUUGUAUACGGAUUCUAUGUAAUU
rnacentral:lncRNA from 1 species